GGGGUGGCCCAUAUACGAAUAUAGGAAAGAGAAAGAAAAAAUCUGCAUGGCCUUUGGGCAGGUAUGACCUGAACAUUAAUGAAGUGUUCUAAAUUUUA
rnacentral:snRNA from 2 species